UCUGGUCCUUUGUGCAUCCUGGAACUACCUGAUACCAUUCCGAACUCAGAAGUCAAACGGGAUAGCGCGGACGAUAGUAGCCGGGCAACUGGUUGCGAAAAUACGUCAGGGCCAGGC
rnacentral:rRNA from 2 species